AUUGAACGCUGGCGGCAUGCCUUACACAUGCAAGUCGAACGGCAGCACGGGAGCAAUCCUGGUGGCGAGUGGCGAACGGGUGAGUAAUAUAUCGGAACGUGCCCAGUGAUGGGGGAUAGCCCGGCGAAAGCCGGAUUAAUACCGCAUACGACCUACGGGUGAAAGCAGGGGAUCGCAAGACCUUGCGUCAUUGGAGCGGCCGAUAUCAGAUUAGCUGUUGGUGGGGUAAAAGCCUACCAAGGCGACGAUCUGUAGCUGGUCUGAGAGGACGACCAGCCACACUGGGACUGAGACACGGCCCAGACUCCUACGGGAGGCAGCAGUGGGGAAUUUUGGACAAUGGGCGCAAGCCUGAUCCAGCCAUGCCGCGUGCGGGAAGAAGGCCUGGUGUAACG
rnacentral:rRNA from 1 species